rfam:Xenopus laevis strain J chromosome 6L, whole genome shotgun sequence.
GCAGCCGCUGGAAAGCCAAGCUGUUGUUUUAAUAGAGCAAUAAAAAUGAAUUAUAGUUUAAACGCCUUAGCGCUUCUGGAUGGAAUCCCCAGUCCAGACUAAUACGUAAGAGGCUUUUUUUUUUAUUUGUGUGUGAGCUCCAGCAAUUGAUCUUCCCCCCUCGAUGACAUCCUCGUUCAUAGAAUGCAUUUGAUUUAUGAGAUUAGGAAGAAUUGCAUCCAGC